rnacentral:lncRNA from 1 species
CUACUAUAUUUCCCAACAUUUAUGCAUCAAAUCAAAAUUUGGUCAAUGUGCGAGUAUAAUUAAAUGAUUAUAUAGAACUAAGAAUGAAUAAAUAAUCUUGAAUUUCACGAUGAGACCAAAUAAUAUUCACACAUCAAUAGAAACAAUAAUAAAUUUCUAACAACAACAACAAUUACGCCAAGACAAAGGGACUCAUUGGUGUCAUAAUAAUCCCUUUUCUCUUUCGUUUCUAUUUUCUUCGGUAAUGAAAGCAAUCAAUUCCAGAUGAGACAUGGUACAACUACAAUUCAUACACAAUCUGCACUCACAUAAUCAUGCAUUAUAUUCAAUCUACACGACUAGCACACAAUCUACAACAGUCACAUAACCAUGUUCUUCCCCUUAUCAGCAACACCUAGAAAAAAUGAACAGGUGGUUAGUAAAUUCAUGGGAACAUGGACAACAAGGGAAGAACAGAACAAGGGAAGAGGAGUAACUUGGCUGGGUAAGGAAAGAAAGAGAAAGAAGGGGAUCCAGGGGAGGGGAAUAAGAUGGAAGAGGAAGGGGAAGAAGAUGACAGAGGAGAAGGGGAAGAAGAUGGCAGGUGGUGGAGCGGCUGCGCUGGCCAGCGAGGUGGCUGAGAUGCAUGGAAGGCACGUCGGCCAGCGAAAUGGCCAAGAUGGAAGGCGCACCGGUCAACAAGAUGACCCGAACAAAACAGUUGCGCCGGCCAGAUGCAGCAGCGGUGCCACCUCGUUCGGCAAAGGAAGGAGUUCCACGGGGGAGGGAAAGGGGCGGUAGCCGCGAGAGCUUGAAGCUCCGCCACCACUAGAGAAAGGAGGGGGGAGGAGGGCCAUGGCGUGGGGAUCCAUACCUGCGUCGCUGCUGGCUGGGGCUUGCGUCUCGCGCGGAGGAAUGGCAGGUCGCGAGCGAG